UGCUAGCAAACUUUGCCUGACUGCCGGAACUGAGCAAAUCAAAGAGCCAAAUAUUCCGGUGAGAGCAUAAGCAAUGGCACAAAAUGGGAGAGCCUCAGGUUCCUUGGCUGACAAAGCUGCUGUUCCCAGUCCAUGAGCACUGAAACAAUUGGACUACGUCAACUUGAAGCAUUCUGAGUAAUAAGAAACUAUAUUUCCUAGAUUUUGGACCACCCAAAAGAUAAGCAUAUCUUAGAAAUAUGACCAUACAACUCUAUGAAUGUGGUCAUAUAAAACUCGUUUUCACCAUGAUAGAAUGAUAAAGAAAAGGCCAUAUUUCAACACUGUAAAACCAAGUUGAUAAAUAUGUUGAAAGUACUCGAAUUACAAUAAUGCAAUUGGCAUGUUACGAAGCAUUAAUGUUAAUUGAGACAAUAUACAAACCAGAAAACGCACAAGUCUGAUGAUUGUACUAAUGAGAUAAAUGCUUGAUUAUAGAGAAAAAGUUCAUAAAAUAACCUAAUUAUCCAAAGGGAUUAGAAGUAGAAACUCAGGCAGAAAAGUAAUAUGCUUGAAGUUUUCACUGAUUCAACAACUGCAGAAGUAAUACCUUGAUGCGGUUGCUAUUCCUCGAGCAAUAGGAUCACGAAACCGUAAUUUGUCAAGUGUUGCUUGCACAAAAUUUGCUCCAAUCAAACCAGUUACUACCACAACCGCAGCCGUGAGAGAUGAAUUGGCACCUACAAACAAUACGGCAAAUGAAUGUUCCUUCAAAGACAGCUCAGAGUUACAUAGAUAGAAUUUGUGUACUUAUAUUACUCUGAAUAUUGUUUGUGUAAAUGAGAGCUGUAAGAAGUAGAUAUUAUUACCUGGCAGCAGAUUAGUAUGUCAUUUAAAAAUAUCAUAAUAAAUAAAGCAUUUUGUGGUUGUCUGUAUAGAACAUAUGGACACAACUAAGAAAUGAUUGCCUACGUAAAACUGCAGAAUAUAAAUGUAAUUAUACCUUCAAACAAUGAUACAAUGCUAAGGGCUAAUGCCACGGUUAUACAUCUGGGUAGAAUAGAAACUGUCAAAGACGGCUCUAAACCAACAAGACGGCCAGCAAGUGCAGUUGAAUACAGUGAGAAUAGUGUUGAUAGAAUGACAGACAUGAAAAUUUCAGCCGCGUGCCUUUUAACGAGCUGAAAAAAUAGAAAAAACCACAUCAUUUUGUGAAUAUAUAUAUAAUCAUGAAUCACAAUAAACAUAAUGUACAUGUUGCAAAAGGUAUGGCAACCAAUUGUUUAAAUGUUAUGCAGAAUUUAGUGCACAAUUUUUGCUGUAGGAUAGAAUGCAUAUAUACAGUGUAAUAUGCCAGAAGCUUAACAGUCCAAAUUUAGGACCCUCUUGCGUCUAGAUGAAGUUGUCUUGAAGAUUGUUUCAAUUCAUUUUCUGCCUUUUCUACUACAGUAUGUUCCUUUCAAAUAAUGAAUAAAAAAGUCAACAUAUUAUCGUGUCAUGACAUCAACAAAUUCUGAUUGUUGAAUUAAAAGAUACUCCGCUUGAGAUAUGCUCUGGUUGAGAAAGGCAACAGGUCAGCACUCUCACUCAAAGUUAGCCCAGUGAUGGUCCUAUGUAACACUACUAGCCGUCCAUUGAGUAAUUACUACUGCCAAUGCCGAAUAGCAACAUCCUCAGAUCACAAAAUGUGUUGAAAGGUUGACCAAAUCAAAUUGAUUUGGUUUUCCUUAUAUAUUUAGGUGUAUAUUUGGUGUAAAUAUAGAGUUAUUGCUUCCUAGAAAUUAGUGUGUAAUAUUCUGCUUUAAUUUUUUCUUUCCUUUCUUAGUCUCUUGUAUCCCUAUAUUAAGAUUGUGUACAGUCUCAUGAAGAUAUGAAAAAGAGAAUUAUUCCAUAAACUUUUUCUCUACCUAUUUUCACACAUGAAAGCCUAAUAAACCCUAGAUCAAGUACAAAAAAUAUCACAAUUUUAUAAUUCAUAUAAGUAUACUCUCUAAUUGCACUGUAAAAUGGCUGGAAUUGAGUUAAAGAUAAAGAAGAUAUUCAGCACAUGCAAUAAAAUUGGUGGUACUUUUGAGUUUUUCUUCCAAUGAUUUAAAGAUAGGGAAAUUAUCAUUUGUAUACCUUAUAUUUGUUCUGUUAUCAAAAAUACUAUAACACUUUGAGGGUGUAUCAAUCGUCCAUCCUAAGUUGACAAAAUAUAUCAACCGACCACCAAACUGUUAAUUGCCGUUUGAAAGUUAAUGGAAUUACAGUGAAUUGACGAUUUUACCCUUGAAAACUAUCACUUGUAUACCCUUAAAUUCUCUUUUUAUCACUUGUAUACCCUUAAAUUAUCACUUGUAUCAUAUGAAAAGACCAAAUUACCCUUCUAACUUUAUCAUAUUUAAACGGCAACUAACAGUUUGGUGGUCGGCUGAUACAUUUUGUCAACUUAGGGUGGACGAUUGAUACACCCUCAAAGUGUUGUAGUAUUUUUGAUAAUGGAGUAAACUAAGGGUAUACCAAUGAUAAUUUUCCUUUGAAGAUAUUGUGUUAAUUACAAUUUGUUCCUUAUGGUAAUUAUUCAAUGGCCAUAACAAACUAUAUCAUCGUCGAUUUCAUUUAAGAAAAAAUUUAUAAAUUUUGCAUACUUUGUAGUGUUAUUUAAUUGUGUAAAAAACUUAUUUUAAUAUAAUUUGUAUCACUUUAAUGAAAAUCAUAUUUUGCCCUCAAUGAAUUACUAGUUAACGGUUUUACACUAAUGGUGAGUUAACGGAAGAAUAUUUUAGAUUAUUAUUUGAAAAGUAAGGAUGAAAUGAGCUAUUGCAUUAAACUUUAGGGAUGAAAAGGACUUUUUCCCUUAAAAAUAUAAACCAUUUUUUUAAUUUGUAAAUUUCUCCAAAAGCGUGCUACAAAGUUAAUCUUAGAUGGAAAAGGGUAAAAAAAUCAAAUUUUCUCACACUUUCUUAGUGUCCUUAAUUUUAGUAGUUAAACCCACCAAAAAGAACUAUAUACUUCGAAUUUGUAUGAUUUAUUUUAGCUGACCAUUGGCUGCCAUUUGGCGUGCAUUAAUUCGUUAGACAACAGACUUGAGUCUUGUCCCAUUGUAGAGUUUCUCCAUUAAAAUUUCAUCUAUCUUGAUCACAGUUUGCAACAACUUCUCACUUCUCACAGAAACAAAUUCAUAAUUGCAAAAAAACUACUACAUAAAAAUAUAUUUCUCAAGUUUCAUUUCUUAACUUUUUAUUUACUUUAUAUAUCUAGAAAAAUUAUAUUUAUAAUAUUAAGAAAUUGGAGGAAACUAAUUAUAGUUAUAUAAUUCAUUUUGAAAUUAACCCAACCAAAGAUUUUAUUUACUUCAUCUACUGCCUUUCCUUUGUUACUUCGCAUCUUUGCCUAAAAUUUGCUUUGUUUCUAAAAUUUUCUCUUGAAACUCAUGUAUCAUGCGCCAUGCGCCUGCUGGUUACCAUCAAAGCGUGUGGGCAAAGAUAGGGAGGACUAUCAAUCCACUUGUUUACCGUUAUGCACCAUUCUUGAACACUCCCACUUCCGCUAUUCCUAUUUCCGUUAUUCUUGUUUUAGAUAGAAGUAUUGAGGUGAGCAAGUAGGGUCACAAAAGGAAAGAUUCCCAAGGGAUUUACUUGAUUACAAUUUUUGUAAGAAAAGCGGAAUUUAAAAUUUAGAUAUAUGAUGAAGUAGCCAUCUUGACGGUAGGUGGAUCCUUCGAUUAAUUAUUUCAUUCUGCCUUUCUGUUGUUCUGUAUUUUUACUAGAUAUGUCGUGUUUGAUCCUGGAAAGCGGCUUCCUCAAAUUUUUGUGGUGACCCUGCUCUGUUUUUAAUUUUAUUGAUGAAAGCUCUAUCAAACCGAAAUAUUUAUCAUUGAUGAUCUAUUGCAAACAAUUAUUAUUCUCCUUUUUGUUGAAAAAAACAAAAAAAAAAAAAUUAACCCAACCACAUACAGUUACCAUCAUUGUCGAUCAGCGCAAAUUUACAUGACUCGUGCAUGUGCUUUUUGUUCUUCGAGUUGUUCAAGAUAAUGGCAAGACUCUUUGCUUUGCCUACAAUGUUGUCAUAAAUUUUGACAGGAACAACUAUUGAGUCUUCCAUGAUGUAUCCGCUAGUAAGCUACUUAUGCAAUCACAAACAUCAGUGGCUAGUCAAUUUCAUUUUUUCAUAUAUAUAUAUAUAUAUUAUCCUCAAAUAUUGUAUAAAAAUGUUGAAGAAAUACAUAAAAAUAAAGUAAUUAUAAUGCAACUAAAUAUUUAAAUUUUAAUUAAAAUUUUAAAAUUUUUAUUUAAUCUAGAUCUCUAAAUCGAUUAAUGUUUCAUUUGAAAUUCGGACUCAGGAGACACUAGUGUUUCCGGCUAAGCGUCUCCAGCUAACAGUGGUAACUUUAACUUAGCACCACUUGAUGGAAUAAGGAAUGCAGAUAUUUCAAAAAAAAAAAAAAAUGCUAUGACAAUAAAUAUUCCUAAUCUAAAAACAAGAAUAAUGAAUAAAUGAUCAAAUAUGAUGCAUUCUUGUAGUUUGCUAGUGUCAUUAAAAGCUUAUAUAUGUACAAGUAGCUGAUAAGAUCAACCAGCUGAUGAUGAUUCAACCAGCGAUUGCUAGCAAACUUUGCCUGACUGCCGGAACUGAGCAAAUCAAAGAGCCAAAUAUUCCGGUGAGAGCAUAAGCAAUGGCACAAAAUGGGAGAGCCUCAGGUUCCUUGGCUGACAAAGCUGCUGUUCCCAGUCCAUGAGCACUGAAACAAUUGGACUACGUCAACUUGAAGCAUUCUGAGUAAUAAGAAACUAUAUUUCCUAGAUUUUGGACCACCCAAAAGAUAAGCAUAUCUUAGAAAUAUGACCAUACAACUCUAUGAAUGUGGUCAUAUAAAACUCGUUUUCACCAUGAUAGAAUGAUAAAGAAAAGGCCAUAUUUCAACACUGUAAAACCAAGUUGAUAAAUAUGUUGAAAGUACUCGAAUUACAAUAAUGCAAUUGGCAUGUUACGAAGCAUUAAUGUUAAUUGAGACAAUAUACAAACCAGAAAACGCACAAGUCUGAUGAUUGUACUAAUGAGAUAAAUGCUUGAUUAUAGAGAAAAAGUUCAUAAAAUAACCUAAUUAUCCAAAGGGAUUAGAAGUAGAAACUCAGGCAGAAAAGUAAUAUGCUUGAAGUUUUCACUGAUUCAACA
rnacentral:lncRNA from 1 species